rnacentral:rRNA from 1 species
UACAGAGGUCCCAAGCGUUGUUCGGAAUCACUGGGCGUAAAGGGUGCGUAGGCGGCGCGGAAAGUCAGGGGUGAAAUCCCGGAGCUCAACUCCGGAACUGCCUUUGAUACUCCCGCGCUUGAGAACUGGAGGGGAGACCGGAAUUCACGGUGGAGCAGUGAAAUGCGUGGAUAUCGUGAGGAACACUAGUGGCGAAGGCGGGGUCUCUGGACAGUAUCUGACGCUGAGGCACGAAGGCCAGGGGGAGCGAACGGG